CAAGUGUUCAAGGGUUUUAAGGAACAUGUCAUGCAGGUAAUGAAUCAAAUGAAAGAUAUAUAUCAGAAAUGAAGAAUACAGUGGAGAAAAUGAAAAGUACA